AUACGGAGGUGGUUAGCGUUGUUCGGAAUUACUGGGCGUAAAGCGCACGUAGGCGGACUGGAAAGUUGGGGGUGAAAUCCCGGGGCUCAACCCCGGAACUGCCUCCAAAACUUCCAAUCUAGAGAUCGAGAGAGGUGAGUGGAAUUCCAAGUGUAGAGGUGAAAUUCGUAGAUAUUUGGAGGAACACCAGUGGCGAAGGCGGCUCACUGGCUCGAUACUGACGCUGAGGCGCGAAAGCGUGGGGAGCAAACAGGAGUAGAAACCCUAGUAGUCC
rnacentral:rRNA from 1 species